rnacentral:rRNA from 1 species
CUAAUACAUGCAAGUCGAACGAAACUUCUUUAUCACCGAGUGCUUGCACUCACCGAUAAAGAGUUGAGUGGCGAACGGGUGAGUAACACGUGGGCAACCUGCCCUAAAGAGGGGGAUAACACUUGGAAACAGGUGCUAAUACCGCAUAACCAUAGUUACCGCAUGGCCACUAUGUAAAAGGUGGCUAUGCUACCGCUUUUGGAUGGGCCCGCGGCGCAUUAGUUAGUUGGUGAGGUAAAGGCUUACCAAGGCAAUGAUGCGUAGCCGAACUGAGAGGUUGAUCGGCCACAUUGGGACUGAGACACGGCCCAAACUCCUACGGGAGGCAGCAGUAGGGAAUCUUCCACAAUGGGCGAAAGCCUGAUGGAGCAACGCCGCGUGGGUGAAGAAGGUCUUCGGAUCGUAAAACCCUGUUGUUAGAGAAGAAAGUGCGUGAGAGUAACUGUUCACGUUUCGACGGUAUCUAACCAGAAAGCCACGGCUAACUACGUGCCUGCCUCCGCGGUAAUACGUAUGUGGCAAGCGUUAUCCGGAUUUAUUGGGCGUAACGGGAACUCAUGCGGUCUUUUAAGUCUGAUGUGAUAGCCUUCGGCUUAACCGGAGUAGUGCAUUGGAAACUGGGAGACUUGAGUGCAGAAGAGGAGAGUGGAACUCCAUGUGUAGCGGUGAAAUGCGUAGAUAUAUGGAAGAACACCAGUGGCGAAAGCGGCUCUCUGGUCUGUAACUGACGCUGAGGUUCGAAAGCGUGGGUAGCAAACAGGAUUAGAUACCCUGGUAGUCCACGCCGUAAACGAUGAAUGCUAAGUGUUGGAGGGUUUCCGCCCUUCAGUGCUGCAGCUAACGCAAUAAGCAUUCCGCCUGGGGAGUACGACCGCAAGGUUGAAACUCAAAGGAAUUGACGGGGGCCCGCACAAGCGGUGGAGCAUGUGGUUUAAUUCGAAGCAACGCGAAGAACCUUACCAGGUCUUGACAUCUUCUGACAAUCCUAGAGAUAGGACUUUCCCUUCGGGGACAGAAUGACAGGUGGUGCAUGGUUGUCGUCAGCUCGUGUCGUGAGAUGUUGGGUUAAGUCCCGCAACGAGCGCAACCCUUAUUGUUAGUUGCCAGCAUUAAGUUGGGCACUCUAGCAAGACUGCCGGUGACAAACCGGAGGAAGGUGGGGAUGACGUCAAAUCAUCAUGCCCCUUAUGACCUGGGCUACACACGUGCUACAAUGGACGGUACAACGAGUCGCAAGACCGCGAGGUUUAGCAAAUCUCUUAAAGCCGUUCUCAGUUCGGAUUGUAGGCUGCAACUCGCCUACAUGAAGUCGGAAUCGCUAGUAAUCGCGGAUCAGCAUGCCGCGGUGAAUACGUUCCCGGGCCUUGUACACACCGCCCGUCACACCAUGAGAGUUUGUAACACCCAAAGCCGGUGGGGUAACCUUUUGGAGCCAGCCGUCUAAGGUUGGACC